rfam:Felis catus isolate Cinnamon breed Abyssinian chromosome C1, whole genome shotgun sequence.
GCCUGGGUGGCUCAGUUGGUUGAGUGCCAGACUCUUGAUUUGGGCUCGGGUCAUGAUCCCAGGGUCAUGGGAUCAAGCCCCACAUCUGGGCU